UGGGAUUUGAAUCCUGCACUCCUAUAUGUGUAUUAUUCUCAUUUUUGUUUGAAAAUAUCAAACUAUCCUCUUCCAACCCUAACAUUUUUCUCUAUGUGCAAACUACUCAUGUAAUGGCUACUUCUUCUCCCACGACUUCACCUUCUUCACGGCAACCUUACAACUUCUUCCUCACGAGUCAUGCCGCCAAAGAACGUCCUCCCCCAUCUCCUUCCUUUGUGUGUUGCCAUUAAAGGUAAUAAUACGAUUUAGAACAUGAUGUUUUGUUUUCCGAAAUGAUAAUUUUGGAAUGUUUUUAUUUUCAACCAUUAUUCUGAAGACACGAUUUCGGAAGUUAUAUAGUAACCUUACGGAAUAGUCAUUUUGAAAUAUAGAUUGAAUUCCGAAAUAGAUUUUUCAAAUACAUAAAAUAUUUUUAUUUUUUAUUUUCAACCAUUAUUUUUUAUUAUUAGGGAACAAGUAUUUCGAAAACUAUUUUUUAUUAGUAUGGAACAAGCAUUUUGAAAGUUAUUUUUUUGCUGUUAUAGAACACCUAUUUCAAAAGUUAUUUUUUUAUUGUUAUAGAAUACCCAUUUUAAAAGCUAAUUUUUUUUUGUUAUGAAAUAUCUAUUCUAAAAGAAAGAAUAGGAGUCUUGAUAUUGUGAGGAGGGCGCCAGGAAAAGGAGGUGGCGCAGAAUAAAAAGGAGUCGCCGUGAAAAGAAUAUGAGUUGUCGUGAGAGGGAGAGGAGCCAUCACGGUAAUUGCCGUCACAGAUGGAAUGUUUCUGAAUGAGAGGGGUCUUCGGGUUAAAAAAAGAGGUGCUAACUUAUUAAGUAUUUCAAACUAAAAUGAGGGUGCU
rnacentral:lncRNA from 1 species